AGAGUUUGAUCAUGGCUCAGAUUGAACGCUGGCGGCAGGCCUAACACAUGCAAGUCGAGCGGUAGCACAGAGAGCUUGCUCUCGGGUGACGAGCGGCGGACGGGUGAGUAAUGUCUGGGAAACUGCCUGAUGGAGGGGGAUAACUACUGGAAACGGUAGCUAAUACCGCAUAACGUCGCAAGACCAAAGUGGGGGACCUUCGGGCCUCAUGCCAUCAGAUGUGCCCAGAUGGGAUUAGCUAGUAGGUGGGGUAAUGGCUCACCUAGGCGACGAUCCCUAGCUGGUCUGAGAGGAUGACCAGCCACACUGGAACUGAGACACGGUCCAGACUCCUACGGGAGGCAGCAGUGGGGAAUAUUGCACAAUGGGCGCAAGCCUGAUGCAGCCAUGCCGCGUGUAUGAAGAAGGCCUUCGGGUUGUAAAGUACUUUCAGCGAGGAGGAAGGCAUUAAGGUUAAUAACCUUGGUGAUUGACGUUACUCGCAGAAGAAGCACCGGCUAACUCCGUGCCAGCAGCCGCGGUAAUACGGAGGGUGCAAGCGUUAAUCGGAAUUACUGGGCGUAAAGCGCACGCAGGCGGUCUGUCAAGUCGGAUGUGAAAUCCCCGGGCUCAACCUGGGAACUGCAUUCGAAACUGGCAGGCUAGAGUCUUGUAGAGGGGGGUAGAAUUCCAGGUGUAGCGGUGAAAUGCGUAGAGAUCUGGAGGAAUACCGGUGGCGAAGGCGGCCCCCUGGACAAAGACUGACGCUCAGGUGCGAAAGCGUGGGGAGCAAACAGGAUUAGAUACCCUGGUAGUCCACGCCGUAAACGAUGUCGACUUGGAGGUUGUGCCCUUGAGGCGUGGCUUCCGGAGCUAACGCGUUAAGUCGACCGCCUGGGGAGUACGGCCGCAAGGUUAAAACUCAAAUGAAUUGACGGGGGCCCGCACAAGCGGUGGAGCAUGUGGUUUAAUUCGAUGCAACGCGAAGAACCUUACCUACUCUUGACAUCCAGAGAACUUAGCAGAGAUGCUUUGGUGCCUUCGGGAACUCUGAGACAGGUGCUGCAUGGCUGUCGUCAGCUCGUGUUGUGAAAUGUUGGGUUAAGUCCCGCAACGAGCGCAACCCUUAUCCUUUGUUGCCAGCGGUUAGGCCGGGAACUCAAAGGAGACUGCCAGUGAUAAACUGGAGGAAGGUGGGGAUGACGUCAAGUCAUCAUGGCCCUUACGAGUAGGGCUACACACGUGCUACAAUGGCAUAUACAAAGAGAAGCGACCUCGCGAGAGCAAGCGGACCUCAUAAAGUAUGUCGUAGUCCGGAUUGGAGUCUGCAACUCGACUCCAUGAAGUCGGAAUCGCUAGUAAUCGUAGAUCAGAAUGCUACGGUGAAUACGUUCCCGGGCCUUGUACACACCGCCCGUCACACCAUGGGAGUGGGUUGCAAAAGAAGUAGGUAGCUUAACCUUCGGGAGGGCGCUUACCACUUUGUGAUUCAUGACUGGGGUGAAGUCGUAACAAGGUAACCGUAGGGGAACCUGCGGUUGGAUCACCU
rnacentral:rRNA from 1 species